CAGUCGCCACGGGAAUACGUAGGGUGCAAGCGUUAAUCGGAAUUACUGGGCGUAAAGCGUGCGCAGGCGGUUCGUUAAGACAGAUGUGAAAUCCCCGGGCUCAACCUGGGAACUGCAUUUGUGACUGGCAAGCUAGAGUCUGGCAGAGGGGGGUGGAAUUCCGCGUGUAGCAGUGAAAUGCGUAGAUAUGCGGAGGAACACCGAUGGCGAAGGCAGCCCCCUGGGCCAACACUGACGCUCAUGCACGAAAGCGUGGGGAGCAAACAGGAUUAGAUACCCCUGUAGUCCCUGUCUCUUAUAC
rnacentral:rRNA from 1 species